rnacentral:rRNA from 1 species
CCUGGCUUAGGAUGAACGCUGGCGGCGUGCCUAACACAUGCAAGUCGAACGGGACUAUCAAGUGAUGUUUCGGACUGAACUUUUAGUUAGUGGCGGACGGGUGAGUAACGCGUGGACAACCUGCCUCUCACUGGGGGAUAGCAGCUGGAAACGGCUGGUAAUACCGCAUGCGUUCAAUGUGCCGCAUGACACAUUGAAGAAAGAUUUAUCGGUGAGAGAUGGGUCCGCGUCUGAUUAGCCAGUUGGCGGGGUAACGGCCCACCAAAGCGACGAUCAGUAGCCGGCCUGAGAGGCGGACGGCCACAUUGGGACUGAGACACGGCCCAGACUCCUACGGGAGGCAGCAGUGGGGGAUAUUGCACAAUGGGCGCAAGCCUGAUGCAGCGACGCCGCCGUGAGUGAAGAAGUAUUUCGGUAUGUAAAGCUCUAUCAGCAGGGAAGAAAGGCCCGCAAGGGAGAUGACGGUACCUGACUAAGAAGCCCCGGCUAACUACGUGCCAGCCGCCGC